AAGCAAUGGUGAGGCCAUUCUUGAAGUAGAUCUUUGAAUCUCUCAAUAAGUUUGGAAAACGACUCAAUAAGCUUUUGCCUAAACUGAAGAAUAUCACUUCUAAGCUU